rnacentral:rRNA from 1 species
GAUGAACGCUAGCGGCAGGCCUAACACAUGCAAGUCGAACGGGAUUUAAUUAGCUUGCUAAUUAAUGAGAGUGGCGCACGGGUGAGUAACGCGUAUACAACCUACCUUAUACAGAGGGAUAGCCCAGAGAAAUUUGGAUUAAUACCUCAUAGCAUUAUCGAUUCGCAUGUUUUGAUAAUUAAAACUCCGGUGGUAUAAGAUGGGUAUGCGUGACAUUAGCUAGUUGGUGUAGUAACGGUGCACCAAGGCAACGAUGUCUAGGGGGUCUGAGAGGAUGGUCCCCCACACUGGUACUGAGACACGGACCAG